rnacentral:tRNA from 1 species
GGGCGGAUAGCUCAGCUGGUUAGAGCGCCUCCCUUACAAGGAGGAGGUCGGGGGUUCGAGUCCCUCUCCGCCCA